rnacentral:rRNA from 1 species
GACAGAGGGUGCAACCGUUGCUCGGAAUUACUGGGCGUAAAGCGCGUGUAGGCGGUCACGCAAGUCAGGUGUGAAAGCCCAGGGCUCAACCCUGGAAGUGCACAUGAUACUACGUGGCUGGAGUACUGAAGAGGAGAGCGGAAUUCCCGGUGUAGAGGUGAAAUUCGUAGAUAUCGGGAGGAACACCAGUGGCGAAGGCGGCUCUCUGGGCAGAUACUGACGCUGAGACGCGAAAGCGUGGGUAGCAAACAGG